AAGAGGAAGAGGAGGAGGGCGGCAAGGAAGAGGAGGAGGGAGACAAAGAGUGGAAAUAUCUGAUGAAAUUCGAACAACAGUCAUAGACCUUGUUCUUGUCCAUGGACUGACAAUGAGGGAAGCAGGACUAAGAGUGCAACCCAAUUUGAUUUUCUGUGUCCACCAUAGUAAGGACGUUCAGAGAAGAGAACAGAAUUGCAAGGCUGCCACAUGCAGGUGGAAGGACAGCUUUAUUCACUCAAAAGCAAGAGGCCAUUAUAGUGGGCAUGGUCCUUCAAGAUAAUGUAAUACGACUCAGAGAAAUCCAGGAACGAGUGAUACAAGACAACACACACUUCCAGGGAAUCAACAGUGUGAGCAUUUCCACAAUUGACCAUGUCCUCCAUCGUAACAGGAUGCGAAUGAAACAAGUAUACAAAGUACCCUUUGAGCGCAACUCACAAGGGUGAAAGAACUGCGAGCUCGGUAUGUGCAAACAAUAUUUGACUUGGAAUCCUUGGUCAGACCCCAUGACUUCAACUUUGUAGAUGAAGCAGGCUUCAAUCUAACAAAGAGGAGACGGAGAGGCCGAAACUUCAUUGGACAGCGGGCCAUUGUUGAAGUCCCUGGUCAACGAGGUGACAAUGUCAAAAUCUGUGCUGCUAUUAGCAACCAUGAUGUUCUACAUCACCAUGUUACACUCGGGCCAUAUAACACCCAGCACCUUCUAAGAUUUAUUGCCAAUCUAAGAGAGAUUUUACUUGAGCUGCAGGUUCAAUACCAUCAGGGUCAAGAGCUAAAUGAGAAUCCCAUUCCCACCUAUGUGAUAGUGUGGGACAAUGUCAGUUUCCACCGAGCUGCUCCGGUAAGGGAAUGGUUUAACAUCAAUGAGCAGUUUAUGAACUUGUACCUCCAUCCUUACUCGCCUUUCCUGAAUCCGAUUGAGGAGUUUUUCUCCUCUUGGAGAUGGAAAGUGUAUAAUAGACAACCCUACACCAGAGUAAGUCUUCUGCAAGCCAUGGAUUUAGCUUGUGGUGAUAUAGGUGAGGAAUCAUGUCAGGGCUGGAUACGGCACACAAGAGGCUUCUUCCCCCGUUGCAUCA